rnacentral:lncRNA from 1 species
AGUAGGAGGCAGCUCAACCUGCAUGACACAGGACACCAGCGAUAGUCAUACCAGGACCAGACUCAUAGAUGAAAUGAAGUGUCAUCAUCCAUCACUAUGAACUUCCUUCAUGAGAGAGAAAAGGGGAAAAAGUGAUCUGUGGUCAUGGCAAAGUGACCAGCCUUGCUGAGUACACUCCCUGUUCUGAUUUCUGCCACACCACAGCAAUGGCACCCAUGGGCAGAAGCUCCGGAAAGUGAUCCAACUGAAAUCUUCUCACUUGUGUUUAUCUAAGGGAUUUUGUUUGAUUGACGAAAAAUUAAUCCAGCUGUAAAUUCCAUAGUCAAGUAAACCUGGCACAUAUAGACAGA